rnacentral:misc_RNA from 1 species
GCAAACUUGGUCAUUUAGAGGAAGUAAAAGUCGUAACAAGGUUUCCGUAGGUGAACCUGCGGAAGGAUCAUUACCGAGUUAGGGGUCUCCGGCCCCGACUUCCAACCCUAUGUUUACUUAAAAUUGUUGCUUCGGCGGGCCCGUCUUAGUGCUUCGUGCUUGAGACCGCUGGGGAGAAAUCCCUUGCCCGUGUCCGUCGAUAGCCCUACUUUUAAAUUCUUGAUGAACUGUGUCGGCUGAGUGUCUUAAUAAAUAAGCACAAAACUUUCAACAACGGAUCUCUUGGUUCUGGCAUCGAUGAAGAACGCAGC